UACGGGGGGGGCAAGCGUUGUUCGGAAUUACUGGGCGUAAAGGGCUCGUAGGCGGCCAACUAAGUCAGACGUGAAAUCCCCAGGCUUAACCUGGGAACUGCGUCUGAUACUGGAUGGCUUGAAUUCGGGAGAGGGAUGCGGAAUUCCAGGUGUAGCGGUGAAAUGCGUAGAUAUCUGGAGGAACACCGGUGGCGAAGGCGGCAUCCUGGACCAACACUGACGCUGAGGAGCGAAAGCCAGGGGAGCAAACGGG
rnacentral:rRNA from 1 species